UCCAGACUCCUACGGGAGGCAGCAGUGGGGAAUAUUGCACAAUGGGGGAAACCCUGAUGCAGCGACGCCGCGUGAGUGAAGAAGUAUUUCGGUAUGUAAAGCUCUAUCAGCAGGGAAGAUAAUGACGGUACCUGACUAAGAAGCCCCGGCUAACUACGUGCCAGCAGCCGCGGUAAUACGUAGGGGGCAAGCGUUAUCCGGAUUUACUGGGUGUAAAGGGUGCGUAGGUGGCAUGGCAAGUCAGAAGUGAAAGCCCGGGGCUCAACCCCGCGGACUGCUUUUGAAACUGUCAGGCUGGAGUGCAGGAGAGGUAAGCGGAAUUCCUAGUGUAGCGGUGAAAUGCGUAGAUAUUAGGAGGAACACCAGUGGCGAAGGCGGCUUACUGGACUGUAACUGACUCUGAGGCACGAAAGCGUGGGGAGCAAACAGGAUGAGAUACCCCAGUA
rnacentral:rRNA from 1 species